GAUGAAGAACGCAGCGAGAUGCGAUACGUAAUGUGAAUUGCAGAAUUCAGUGAAUCAUCGAAUCUUUGAACGCAUAUUGCGCUCUCUGGUAUUCCGGAGAGCAUGCUUGUUUGAGUAUCAGUAAACACCUCAACUUCCAUAUCUUUUUUGAAAUGGGAGUUGGACUUGAGUGAUCCCAACGCUUUUCCUCACCGAAAAGUGGCGGGUUACUUGAAAUGCAGGUGCAGCUGGACUUUUCUCUGAGCUAUAAGCAUAUCUAUUUAGUCUGCCUAAAAAACAGAUUAUUACCUUUGCUGCAGCUAACAUAAAGGAGAUUAGUUCUUGUGCUGACUGAUGCAGGAUUCACAAAGACAGGCUUCGGCCGACUUUGUAAACUCGAUCUCAAAUCAAGUAAGACUACCCGCUGAACUUAAGCAUAUCAAUAAGCGGAGGA
rnacentral:misc_RNA from 1 species